ACACUCCUACGGGAGGCAGCAGUGGGGAAUAUUGCACAAUGGGCGCAAGCCUGAUGCAGCGACGCCGCGUGGGGGAUGAAGGCCUUCGGGUUGUAAACUCCUUUCGCUAGGGACGAAGCUUUUUUGUGACGGUACCUAGAUAAGAAGCACCGGCUAACUACGUGCCAGCAGCCGCGGUAAUACGUAGGGUGCGAGCGUUGUCCGGAAUUACUGGGCGUAAAGGGCUCGUAGGUGGUUUGUCGCGUCGUCUGUGAAAUUCUGGGGCUUAACUCCGGGCGUGCAGGCGAUACGGGCAUAACUUGAGUGCUGUAGGGGUAACUGGAAUUCCUGGUGUAGCGGUGAAAUGCGCAGAUAUCAGGAGGAACACCGAUGGCGAAGGCAGGUUACUGGGCAGUUACUGACGCUGAGGAGCGAAAGCAUGGGUAGCGAACAGGAUUAGAUACCCCUGUAGUCCC
rnacentral:rRNA from 1 species